rnacentral:rRNA from 1 species
GACGAACGCUGGCGGCGUGCCUAAUACAUGCAAGUUGAGCGAUGAAGCUUGGUGCUUGCACCAAUUUGAAGAGCAGCGAACGGGUGAGUAACGCGUGGGGAAUCUGCCUUUGAGCGGGGGACAACAUUUGGAAACGAAUGCUAAUACCGCAUAACAACUUUAAACAUAAGUUUUAAGUUUGAAAGAUGCAAUUGCAUCACUCAAAGAUGAUCCCGCGUUGUAUUAGCUAGUUGGUGAGGUAAAGGCUCACCAAGGCGAUGAUACAUAGCCGACCUGAGAGGGUGAUCGGCAACAUUGGGACUGAGACACGGCCCAAACACCUACGGGAGGCAGCAGUAGGGAAUCUUCGGCAAUGGACGAAAGUCUGACCGAGCAACGCCGCGUGAGUGAAGAAGGUUUUCGGAUCGUAAAAGUCUGUUGGUAGAGAAGAACGUUGGUGAGAGUGGAAAGCUCAUCAAGUGACGGUAACUACCCAGAAAGGGACGGCUAACUACGUG